UACGUAGGGGGCGAGCGUUGUCCGGAGUUACUGGGCGUAAAGGGCACGUAGGCGGUCAUCGACGUUUGGGGUUACAGCUGCCGGCUUAACCGGCAGAGCGCCUCGAAAACGGGAUGACUUGAGGCCGCGAGAGGGACACAGAAUUCCGGGUGUAGUGGUGAAAUGCGUAGAUAUCCGGAGGAAUACCAAAGGCGAAGGCAGUGUCCUGGCGCGGGACUGACGCUGAGAGGCGAAAGCUAGGGGAGCGAACGG
rnacentral:rRNA from 1 species